UACGGAGGGUGCAAGCGUUAAUCGGAAUGACUGGGCGUAAAUCGCACGCAGGCGGUAUGCUCAGCCAGAUGUGAAAGCCACGGGCUCAACCUGGGAACUGCAUUUGGAACUGGCAGGCUAGAGUCUUGGAGAGGGGGGUAGAAUUUCCGGUGUAGAGGUGAAAUGCGUAGAGAUCGGAAGGAAUACCAGUGGCGAAGGCGGCCCCCUGGCCAAAGACUGACGCUCAGGUGCGAAAGCGUGGGGAGCAAACAGG
rnacentral:misc_RNA from 1 species